CCUACGGGAGGCAGCAGUGAGGAAUAUUGGUCAAUGGCCGAGAGGCUGAACCAGCCAAGUCGCGUGAGGGAAGACGGCCCUACGGGUUGUAAACCUCUUUUGUCGGGGAGCAAAGCGAACCACGUGUGGUUCAUUUAGAGUAUCCGAAGAAAAAGCAUCGGCAAACUCUGUGCCAGCAGCCGCGGUAAUACGGAGGAUGCGAGCGUUAUCCGGAUGUAUUGGGUGUAAAGGGUGCGCAGGCGGCGGUGCAAGUCAGCGGUCAAAUUGCGGGGCUCAACCCCGUACUGCCGUUGAAACUGCAUCCCUUGAGUGCGCGAGAAGUAUGCGGAAUGCGUGGUGUAGCGGGGAAAUGCAUAGAUAUCACGCAGAACUCCGAUUGCGAAGGCAGCAUACCGGCGCGCAACUGACGCUCAUGCACGAAAGCGUGGGUAUCGAACAGGAUUAGAUACCCCAGUAGUC
rnacentral:rRNA from 1 species